UGGGGCGUUUGGGGUUAAGCAUGUUUUCGUAGAUGUUUAAUAUUGCUGUGGAACUUUUUUGUCAUGAGAGUGUAAUAGUCAAUAUAUAUAGAGUAUUACUUUCUGUUUGGUGGAAUACUGAAAUAGAAGUCAAUACAUUCUUGCUCAAUCCUUUGUCGCUUUGAAGGUGUCAUGAUUGUCAUUCUCAGCUGACGCAAUGUGAUACUGUAAUUUGAAUAUUAAAAUGACUGAGCGACGUUUUUUCUAUGCACUGGUCAACUCCACCAUAGCGAAUCACAGACACAGGACUUUGAUUAUCA
rnacentral:lncRNA from 1 species